UACGUAGGCAGCAAGCGUUGUUCGGAGUUACUGGGCGUAAAGGGUGUGUAGGCGGUUGUUUAAGUUUGGUGUGAAAUCUCCCGGCUCAACUGGGAGGGUGCGCCGAAUACUGAGCGACUAGAGUGCGGGAGAGGAAAGUGGAAUUCCUGGUGUAGCGGUGAAAUGCGUAGAUAUCAGGAGGAACACCGGUGGUGUAGACGGCUUUCUGGACCGUAACUGACGCUGAGACACGAAAGCGUGGGUAGCAAACAGG
rnacentral:rRNA from 1 species